AAACCCGUCAGUAGCGCAAGCAAACGACGGCGUGGCGUAGCGCACACACAAAGACCGUAUCCUUAAAAUUUCAAGAUGAGUUACGGCCGCCCCCCUCCAGAUACGGAUAGUAUGGUAUCCUUGAAGGUUGAUAAUUUAACAUACAGGACAACACCAGAAGAUCUUCGACGAGCCUUUCAAAAAUACGGUGAAGUCGGAGACGUUUACAUUCCAAGAGACCGAUUUACUAGGGAGAGCAGAGGUUUUGCCUUUGUCAGGUAUUUCGAUAAACGAGAUGCUGAAGAUGCGCUUGAUGCCAUGGACGGUACAGUGAUGGACGGACGAGAACUUCGAGUGCAGAUGGCUAGAUAUGGAAGACCAACAGAUCCUCACAGACGAUCAUCAUCAAGAAGAUAUGGCAGUCGCAGACGAUCACACUCAAGGUCGAGGUCGCGUUCACGAGAUAGAAGGCGGCGGAAGUACUCGAGAAGUCGUAGUCGUUCUUACAGUAAAUCCAGAAGUCGCAGCAAGAGUAGGAGUCGCAGCAAGAGUAGGAGCAGGUCCAGGUCUAGGAGGUCAUCACGAUCCAGGUCUAGGUCCAGAUCUAGGUCCAGGUCAAGGAGCAGGAGUCCUGACAAGGUGCAGGAGGCAGAUUGAGCCUGAAAGGAUUGGUUUCAUCUUGGACUUUACACAGAACUCGUUUUGAUGAAUUGCUGCUUUAACAAAAAAGGAGCAGUAGGCUGUAAAAUAUGCAGAACUGCUGGGGCCGGGUUGGCAGUAGCAGCCCAUGCAGUAGUUGCAGUAAGGCAGACUAGCAGUCCGAUAGCUGUCCUGUCAGAGCAGUCUCAAUAAGCAGUGUCACCGAGAAUAGUUAUCCAGAACAGAUUGGCAGUUUGAACUGAUUCAUUCUGCCAUAUUAAUGAUGUCUGGUGUUGCUGAAAUAAUGUUCUGAAUAAAUAGCUCUGGCAUAAAAAUGAAAAGCUACUGAUAAGUCUGAAACAAGACUGUUGUUAGUUUUGAGGGAGGGGGUGGGGGUUGUUAAACGAAUUAUAACUGACUGUCAAAAACUUCAGCAGACAUUAGAUUAUCCAACAAAUUGAAUAUUUUACUGAUUUGGCCAUUCAAUGGUACAGGAAGUCAUUAGGUUGAUCAGUUUUCACCAUAUAAAAACCACAAGAUUGAAUUUUUAAUAACAUGAAAAAAACUGCAUUUAUGGAGAUUUAAAUGGAAAAAAGGAUCUCCUUAAAGUAACACACUUGGAAUUCCUAAACCUAUUAUAAAGCCACUACCAUAAACAUGUAAAAAUAUUUCCGUACAAUCCCUCGUCAAAAUUGAUUUCUCAGUGCACAGGUGUAUAAAUGAUGGCUGUUGACUGGAACAUAUUCUAUGUUCGAAAACGGAAUAAUCAAUCUUUCUGCUUUAAUAUCUGAAUUUGAAUCUGCUGACUUGGUAUGCAAGUUUGUAAUUUUGAAGCCAGAGGUCAGGUUUUGAUGACCUCUAGCUGAAAUCUGUUACCAUUCAUUAACUGGAAAAGCUAAGGCACAAAGACCUCGGGCUUAGUAUGCAAGUUGGUAAUUACCAGCAGAUGAACCAUGUUGAUUUUUGGGACAAAUAUCAAGAUUGUGGUGAUCAAGCUGAAAAUUUGUUUUAAAUUAAUAAGAGAAGAAUGCUUCAGCCCAGAGAUCAGUUGAUAUCAACUCCUAUUUUGCAGCAACUUGAAAUGAAAAGUAUUGACAGAUCAAUAUUUCCAAAGUUAAUAGGAAGGUAUGGUAGGUCAUGAAAAGACGUUGCAUACUAAAGGUUAUCUGUCUAUACAGGCUUAAAUACAACUCUUGUUUAUCCAAUCAUGAUUUUGAACUGCGUAUGUAAUAUCUAGGUCAAUCUUGAUAAAUCAUGAAUUGCAUUAUAGUUGUAACAACUGGCGACACAUCCAAUUUGUGAAAUUCUAAUGUAUUGCAGAGGAGACAGCAGUCGGCAGCUAAAACUACUUCUGAUUGAAGUUAUCUGAACUAAACAAUUUUGAAUGAAACUUCAAGCAGUAAUUGAUUGUGAUGUCAACUUGACACAUAUUUUAGAACAAAAACUUGGUGACCAGUUGUUCCCUUAUACUCUCCAUUGACUAGCAAGAAUAUUGGAAAAUUAUAGACAUGAAUUGAUAUUUAUUGGAAAGUGAUUGAUGGCAAUAUGUGUUUGACAAUCGAUUUCAUAUCUCUUGCCAAAAGAGGGGAAAUUGUAGGCUUUUUUUAGGUAAAUCUCAUCCGCAGCAUUACUAUUCCUUGGAGGUAUUGACUUUAAAACUUCACAAACAGAUAUAUCUCAUUGAGAACAAGUGCAGUGUUCAGUACACAAGAAUUAUAACUAGGUGCAGUAAUCUUUAGUUUUUGCGCUUUGUUAUCAUUCUAUUCACUUUAAACUUUGAUUACAGAUAUAGCUUAUUGAGCUAAAGUGCAGUGUAUAAAAACCAUAACUCAUUCUCUUGAUAAGUUGCUUACCAUGAGCAAGACAAAAUCCUACCAAUGUCAUUUCUGUGCAAGUGCAUCCUUCCAUUUAUCCAGACUGUAUCUUGACCAUGCAUCAUCGAAUUUUCAUAAAAACUUGCCGUGAAGGUUCAUCAUGAGGGGGCAUUUACCGCACAACACCUAGGUCAAUUGUCAAGGUUGUCUGUUGUCUGGCUCUAUCUUAACCAUGCAUUAUCGAAAUAACCUUGCAAUGAAGCUUCACUAUGAAAUUCGUGUUGCGCACACGGGUCUGUUCCGUCAUGGUUGAGGUCAAAGGUAAAAAUUGGGGAUGCAAACGAAUAUUCGAAUGAACGUUUGAUAUUCGAAUGUCAAAAUCGGUUUUCUAAUAUACGGUUUUUUGUUUGAUAAGAAAUUAAACUGUUUACCUACAACUGUGUUGUCGUACGUAUUCGCUUGUCUUGUUUUUACAAGGAUUGAUCCCUUAUGCCAGAGGCGUGAAUGUGAUGACACCGUACACGUGUCACAUGUUAAUAAGGGACAUAUCGUUGGUGACUAUAAACAGUACCUGUAAUUUUACGAAAACUGGCUAUUAGACAAGUGACACAAGUUUCAAUUAUUUUCAGUAAAUUGUUAUGACCAUGUCAAUAAAGGAUAUACAGUAUCAUCUACCAAUGUGGUGUCAUGGUUGCAAAUUAGCUGAGCAAUAUAGUUCAAAUCACCAUAAUGAUACCAAUGACAUGUGCUGGUUCUGUGCUCUAUAUUUUUCCAAGUUCGUGCUUUUAAAUGUUUCUGUAUAGAGUAGCGUUUUAGUACAUUGUUGUACAAAAGAUAAGUCAAAAUUCA